rnacentral:lncRNA from 1 species
CAGAAGAUUCUGAACCCUGUAAAUUACCAGGAAGGGGCAGGCUCCUCCACACCUCCAACAGCUGUAGGAAGGAUGUUCAUGAAUUCACUGUUUAAAAUGUAGUCAACAGAUGUACAUCAAGAUGUCAUGUGUACCAGGACCUAAGCUACAGUGGUCCUUUUACCCAAGUGACAAAAAGUACCUCCUCCUGCUCUACAGAGACCAUCUUCCGGGACUUUCAAGGCCACAUGGCAAGGGUAAUUAGUGUCAGCUGCUACCUUUUCAGGGCAUGAAAGAAUCAAGUUCCCAAGAGAGACUGACUUCAGGAGGAUAAAAGACUAAGAGAGGACGCUGCUGCUGGUGGUCAUUUUGGUGCCUAUUUCCUCCUCUAGGGAGGGGCAGUAGCUCAGGUGUGAGAUCAGAGUGCAGUUCUUAGCCAAGCCAUAAGCUGAGGUAUGAAAGCGGUUGAACACUAAGCUGAGCAGGACUGAAAGGUGCACUGCAUCGAGAUUCCUUUAGCCUCUGGGUGCCGGGCAUGGCGCAGAAGAGCACUGCGCACAACAGCAUCAACUUGCCCUACCAAGACCUGGCUUCCGAGGUGAUCAGGCGGAGGGUCGCCAUGGCCACCAGAGAAGAGGUGAUUACUGAGAAAAAUGAUGACGCUAAGAAGAUGGUCUUCCAUUUAGGCACGGAGACAGAGCCUUCUCCCAACAAGACCCACUCCACCGAACCUCCUGCCCCGCCGCCUUCUCCGGCCGAGGAGUCCACUGGCUCCCAAAACCAUGGUUGGGUGUUGCUCAUCUCCGCUGAUGCACUUGGAGGGAUUUGGGGUUUUCAAGCUGAGUCUCUGGAUGUAUUUGAUCUUUAAUUUAUGCUGCACUGUAGAACACUUGCAGUAGUCGGUUACCUUUGAAUUUAAAAAGUUACCAGGCACCAUUGUUUAUUACUAAAUCUGAAUCUGUAAAAAGUUCAGGUCUCUGUGACUUAACUCUAAAGAUCUGAGGUCCAGAGGACCCUGACGUUUGAAUUUUCAAAUCUCAGCCAGGGACACCACUGUUUUAUGGCUCUUUCACUCUAAUUUAGCUGAGCUGUAUCCCCAUCCCUUGUACUGGAGCCAGAGUGGCUGAGUUUCAGACUUAAUUGACUUCUUCAAAGCUUACUUAUUGGGGCUUGAGGAAAUUGUCAAACUCUAUAAACAGGAAACUCAGCCCUGAAAAGUAGCUAGCACAGAAUGAUUUAGUGGGAAGAAGUAUAUUUCCCAGGGCCCUUGUUCAGCCCUCUUAGCAGACCUCAAGCCCUUCUAAAGACUUUCAGGGCUCCUUUGAGUGAUUUGGAGGCAUUAGAAAUGUGGUAACUUGGAUGUACAUGAAAAUACAACUUGCCAUCUUUUAUGUCACGUUUCUUCAUGGGGUCAUGCUAGUGUGCUCUCUUCACACCUGCCCUUACGAAAGUGCUCAGCCCUCUUCCCUGAUAGCCAGUAGCUGGGCUGUUGGUAUUGUUCCUUUCCUGUGGGUUUCUGCAGCAGCAUGAGGGAGGCAGGGACCAUCCCCUGAGCACCUGUCAUUGCCAGCAGGGUUGCCAGCAUGCACACCUCCUCCCCCUCGCUCACAUGAGGAAACAGACCUGCACUCCCCAGUAAGACUGCCACAUGCCAGGUGUGGCUCCUUAAAUCGAUUCAUUAAAAUUGAAUAAGAUAAAAAUUCAGCUCACAGUUGCAGUAUAGCACCUACUGUGUGAGCCAGGCACUCUUCUGGCGAUACAUCACUGUAUAGAACAAUCAAUCCCUGUCCCAGUGGAGUUUAUCUUCCAAUGCGGGAGACUAACAAAAAUAUAUGAUGAGUAGAAAGGAAAAGAAAAAUGAAAAUAAUAACACAGUAAAACAGAUGAGAAGUGCUGCAAGAAGCAGCCGGUUAGUUGCGAUUUUAAGUAAAGCGGCCUGGGUAGGCCUCCUAAGGAAGGUGAAAGCUUGAAGCCAGUGAUAGAGUUAGGUGUCAGGACACCUGAGGCAGAGGGAUGAGCAGGUGCCAAAGCCUGAAGGCCAGGUGUCCCUGAUGUGUUCCAGGGAGAUCAGGGAGGCGAGCUGGGCUUGGCUGGAGCAGUGAAUUGGGACACGGCCAGAGGAGGAAGUCACAGUGGUGGCAGAUCCUAUGGGGCUUUGUAAGGACUCUGACUUUGAAUGAGAGGGGAAGCCAUGAGGGGUGUUCAGAAAAAGAGGCAUAAUCUGGCUUGCAUUUGACUUGGUUUGUUGUUGUUGUUGUUUGUUUUUUGGUACCAAGGAUUGAACUCGAGACCUUGCACUUGCCAGGCAGCCACAGUGCCACUGAGCUAAAUCCCCAGCCCCUCUGGCUUACAUUUGAACAGAAUUUUUCCAUCUGCCCUAUAGAGAAUAGACUGUGCAAAGGGAGUGGAAGCAGUUGAGAUGCUAUUGUAGCACACAGUGGGGGUGCUAACUGUGGCCAGAUUCUGAAUCUGGUUUUAGAGAUAGAAUGGUUAUAGGAUAGGAAGGAGAUGGAUAAAGGAUGAUUCUAAUAUUUUUUGGCUUGUGUAAUUGGACGGAUGGAGUUCCAUCACCUACAAGAGGAUCAGAUGUGGUGUGUCUGGGGCAGGAGUUCAGUUCUUGAUAGUUAUAUGCCUAAAAGACACCUAAAGGGAGAGGCCAAGUUAGCAAGUGAAUAAUGAGUCUAAAGUUCAGGGGUCAUGACUAUGCUGGGGACAGACACUCAGGGUCUCCAGUGGUUGGGGCUCAGAGGAGGCACCAGUAAAAGAGACCAAGGGUCAAUCAAAGAUGCAGGAGGAGUCAGAUGUCGUGGAAGCUGAGCAAGGAGUUUCUUUCUUUCCUCUGUUCUUUUGCCUUCACCCCCUUCUUCCAUCCCAAAGCCAGAAACACAGCUGAUAGAAAGUAGGAAAAGGAGUCAUGGGCAGGGCUGUGCAAAAGGGACUCUCCUCCCCGUGUGGGAGCUACGCUGGCUCAUCUGAUCACCCAAAGGUAUCUCUUCACCUACUUUUCAUUUAAACAUCUGGAAGCUAUAGGUGCUUCUUAGGGUAAGUUAGCAUAUGCAUUCUGACUCUUAGGUUUUCUAAAAGAAUCUGUUGCAGGGGCCAGGGGAUUUAGCUCAGUGGUUCCGCCACCUGCCUCACAAGCGCAAGGUCCCAAGUUCGAUCCCGGUACCAAGAAAAAAAAAGAAUCUGUGGCCAUGAGUGAAAAUGGUAAUACCCAAUUGUUAUGGGCCAAAUUACCUCGUAUGUCAAAGUCCUCAUCCUAACACAUGUUAAGUAUCCCCAAGUCUAAAACUCUAAAAUCCAAAGUGCUGCAAGAUCUGAAAUUUUUUGGGGGUGCUGAUGUGAUACCACAAGCAGAAAACUCCACACCUGACCUCAUAGGACAGGUCAGGCCAGGUGUAAUUACACUGAAAAUACUGUAUAAAGUUACAUUCAGGCUGUAUGCAUAAGACGUACAUGAGACACAGAUUCAUUUGUUUAGAUUUGAGAUCCAUCCCCCAAGGUAUCAAAUUACAUAUAUGUAAAUAUUCCAAAAUCUGAGAAAAUUCAAAAUGCCUCUGAUCUCAAGCAUUUUAACUAAAGGAUGUUAAACCUCAUACUUUAAAAAAAAUUUUUUUAAUUUUUUUUUGGUACCGGGGAUAGUACUCAGGACCUUGCACUUGCGAGGCAGGUGGCAGAGCCACUGAGGUAAAUCCCCGGCCCAAACCUCAUACUUUAGAAUCUGACUGUCUCUGGAGAUUUGCCCUAUAAAGAAGGACUUCCUUUAAAAUGAAGCCAUUAGGGCCGGGCAUUUAGCUCAGUGGUUUCGCCGCCUGCUGCGCAAGCGCAAGGACCCGAGUUCAAUCCCUGGUACCAAAAUAAACAAAUAAAUAAAGCCAUUAGAGUGAGCCUCAGUCCAAAAUGAUGACUGCCCUGAUAAAGGAGUCGAGGACACAGGCACACAGAGGGGAGAGCAAGUGUGGACACAGGGAGAAGACCCACAUCUGCAAGCCCAGGUGAAGAGUCUCCGAAGACAUCUCGAUCUUAGAUUCCAGCCUACAGAACUGCAAGAGAAAAUAAAUGUAUGUUGCUUAAACUACCCAGUCUUUGGUGUUUUUUAGGAUGGCCCAAGCAUACUGAUACAGCAUUAGAGAGAGACUUUGAGAUUUCUUCCUCUCCCUAUAUACUCAAGGAAUGUGUCACUUUAAAGAGGAUUUAUUGCCUGUGGAAAAGGAAAGUCAAAUUCUCAGCUGUGCUUUCCAAAGUAUAGUCUUUAGAACUCAUGGGAGGGAGAAUUCUUUGAAGCUCAGACUGUGCCUUUAAGAGCUGGAUCUCAUGCUGAGCCCUGGUCCCAAGAAUAGUAUGGGGAAAAUAGACUAGACUGUCCCAGACCCGUUGUCUGACUUGACUCUGGGGAAGCAAAAAGCCUCAGAGUGAGAAAACUUAGGUUCUGAAGAGCUCCAAACAGGACUUCACAAACAGGAUAGUUUGGGGAUUUGAAAGCAGAAGAGAUUGGUAGGUGUUUCCCGCAGUUUUAUUCCUGUUGGUGGCAAAUCUACUGGAGAAAUGGCCCAGCACCAGCAGGGGGCAGCAGCAGAAUAGCAAAGGGUACCUCUAUUCCUACGGAGCAGGCCCACUCCUGAAAUGUCACUAUUUAGGGGGUAAGGGGACAGGCUAGAAAAAACCAACACAUAAGGCAGGAGGAUCAAAAGCUCAAGUCUCACAAAGCAGCAGCCUGCCCAAACCCCUGGGCAGCCUCCACUCUUCCAAGGCUGGCCCGAGCCAGCGCGACCCUUGGGCGUCACACAGAAGGGCUGGCUCAGCUCUCAUUAAGGGUGGGAUCUUGCCUGCCCUCUGCUGCGCCUGAGAGCAGAUGCACUACCAGUAGAGAAAGCCUCCCAACCCUGCCCUAGCCUGGAACCCUGGGGCUCAAUCCUCAAAGUUGUUCAAUGUUUCUCUUUCGUUCAACUGUAGCUUCCCCCUUUCCUGAUGAUUGAUUUACAGAAGAGAAAGUAAGCUGCUCAGAAGGCCCUGAAGUGGGGAGGAGAAGCAAGAAGAUGAGUAGUUAGGAUGGGUGAGGUUUUGCUGAAAGCUUGGGUAGAGUGGUCUGCGUUCUCUGGCACCCUCUUGAAUGGGAACCCCGAAGUAUCUCUUGUGGGAAGGGGGCCUAGAUUCUCCCCCACCCCACUCCUCCCUCCUUCAGCUGUGUUGAUGGCAGAGGCAGAGAAGACAGAACUUACAGCCCGUUUCUCACUGGAGGGGAAAACUCGUCGUCUGGCUUUGCAGAGAAGGCGCCACCUUACACUCGUAGUACAUUAUCUCUACCAUGUGCUAGGAUAUCACACUUAAGAGGACAAAAAAAAUGUAAAAUACUUGAAUGAGCUUGUAUUAUAACAUUAAUAUUAUUGAGAGUAUCUGCUUCCCAGGCUGAAGCGAUUCAUUCAUUAUUCUAGUUCUGCUUUAGUCCUUUGUAAUUUGUGAUAAUUAUGCUUUUCUUUUUAGUACAAAAAAAUGUAUAAAAAUAAAAAUACGAAAAGGCAAAAAAAAGAAAAAAGCUGAAGUCUCACCAGGGCAACUUAGUGAGACCCUAUCUCAAAAUAAAGAAUAAAGGUCUGGAUUGGAGGUGCAGCUCAGUGUGAAAUGCCCUGGGUUCAAUCCCCAGCGCAAAGAAAAAGAAAAUCUGGACAUCAGAGGAUGCAGGACGCCAGACCUGGUA